GGUUGACUGGCUGACUGGCUGGCUGGUUGACUGGCUGGCUGGUUGACUGGCUGGCUGGUUGACUGGCUGGCUGGUUGACUGGCUGGCUGGCUGACUCACUGGCUGGUUGACUCACUGGCUGGUUGACUCACUGGCUGGCUGACUCACUGGCUGGCUGACUCGCUGGCUGGCUGACUGACUGGACUGACUGGCUGGCUGACUGGCUGGCUGACUUCAGGGCUACUACUCCAGACUGACCUAAUGUUUAUGCCAGCUUUUUUCACAGCUAGCCUGAAAUCCACUUCUGUCUCUGAGUGGGCAAGCUCGUUUUACGGAAGAGUAGAGAGAAAGACAGGACAACAGAGGAGGAGAGGUGUUUUAUCCAUGUCUGCUAAUAUGGAAGAUAAAAUCAUGUGAUGGUUGAGGGUAGACUGGGUGGUGAUACAGGUGGAGGAAUAAGGUAGACUGGGUAGUGAUACAGGUGUAGGAAUAAGGUAGACUGGGUAGUGAUACAGGUGGAGGAAUAAGGUAGACUGGGUGGUGAUACAGGUGGAGGAAUAAGGUAGACUGGGUAGUGAUACAGGUGGAGGAAUAAGGUAGACUGGGUGGUGAUACAGGUGGAGGAAUAAGGUAGACUGGGUAGUGAUACAGGUGGAGGAAUAAGGUAGACUGGGUAGUGAUACAGGUGUAGGAAUAAGGUAGACUGGGUGGUGGUAUAAGGUAGACUGGAUGGUGAUACAUGUGGAGGAAUAAGGUAGACUGGGUAGUGAUACAGGUGUAGGAAUAAGGUAGAUUGGGUGGUGGUACAGGUGGAGGAAUAAGGUAGACUGGAAUAAGGUAGACUGGGUGGUGAUACAGGUGGAGGAAUAAGGUAGACUGGGUGGUGGUACAGGUGGAGGAAUAAGGUAGACUGGAAUAAGGUAGACUGGGUGGUGAUACAGGUGGAGGAAUAAGGUAGACUGGGUAGUGAUACAGGUGGAGGAAUAAGGUAGACUGGGUAGUGAUACAGGUGGAGGAAUAAGGUAGACUGGGUGGUGAUACAGGUGGAGGAAUAAGGUAGACUGGGUGGUGAUACAGGUGGAGGAAUAAGGUAGACUGGGUAGUGAUACAGGUGGAGGAAUAAGGUAGACUGGGUAGUGAUACAGGUGUAGGAAUAAGGUAGACUGGGUGGUGGUACAGGUGGAGGAGUAAGGUAAACUGGAAUAAGGUAGACUGGGUAGUGAUACAGGUGGAGGAAUAAGGUAAACUGGAAUAAGGUAGACUGGGUAGUGAUACAGGUGGAGGAAUAAGGUAGACUGGGUGGUGGUACAGGUGGAGGAAUAAGGUAGACUGGAAUAAGGUAGACUGGGUGGUGAUACAGGUGGAGGAAUAAGGUAGACUGGGUGGUGAUACAGGUGGAGGAAUAAGGUAGACUGGGUAGUGAUACAGGUGGAGGAAUAAGGUAGACUGGAAUAAGGUAGACUGGGUGGUGGUACAGGUGGAGGAAUAAGGUAGACUGGAAUAAGGUAGACUGGGUGGUGGUACAGGUGGAGGAAUAAGGUAGACUGGGUGGUGAUACAGGUGGAGGAAUAAGGUAGACUGGGUAGUGAUACAGGUGGAGGAAUAAGGUAGACUGGGUAGUGAUACAGGUGUAGGAAUAAGGUAGACUGGGUAGUGGUACAGGUGGAGGAAUAAGGUAGACUGGAAUAAGGUAGACUGGGUAGUGAUACAGGUGGAGGAAUAAGGUAGACUGGAAUAAGGUAGACUGGGUGGUGAUACAGGUGGAGGAAUAAGGUAGACUGGGUAGUGAUACAGGUGGAGGAAUAAGGUAGACUGGGUAGUGAUACAGGUGGAGGAAUAAGGUAGACUGGGUAGUGAUACAGGUGGAGGAAUAAGGUAGACUGGGUGGUGAUACAGGUAGAGGAAUAAGGUAGACUGGGUGGUGAUACAGGUGGAGGAAUAAGGUAGACUGGGUGGUGAUACAGGUGGAGGAAUAAGGUAGACUGGGUGGUGAUACAGGUAGAGGAAUAAGGUAGACUGGGUAGUGAUACAGGUGGAGGAAUAAGGUAGACUGGGUGGUGGUACAGGUGGAGGAAUAAGGUAGACUGGGUGGUGAUACAGGUGGAGGAAUAAGGUAGACUGGCUAUAGGGAGGGAGAAAGCUCUCCUACUGGUUUAAGGGUUUUAUUCAUAUAGAAGAGACAUUGGCAGUCUGGAUGGGAAGUCUUGAUUAAAUCUCAUGUCCGGAGUGUUUUUGGUCAGUGGUAACAUUUAGAUGGACCAAGGCCCAUGGAAAGUUCCAGUUAAAUGUAUGAGGACAGAGGAGAGGACGAGGUGUAUGGCCGGUGUAUCAGAGGGGUGAUGAUGUAGCAGUGUUCUAUACUAGCCUUCACAUGGGGGACAGAUUCUCCAGAAGGCCACACGACUGUCCAUCCAGGAAGCUCCUAUGGAUCCGACUCAAAACGAACCCCGUCUCAGGUGGCAUCAUAUUCACCAUGUACUGCGUUACUAGAUAGGGUUCCAUUUGAGACACAGACUUCUAUGUCUGUGGUGAACAGCCAGCCAGUCAUUCAGCCAGUCAGUCAGCCAGUCAUUCAGCCAGCCAGUCAGUCAGUCAGCCAGUCAGUCGCAUCACACCACAGCGUAAAGGAUUGUCAAGCUUCAGUUAUAAUAUAAACCGGUCAAAGAAAAGGUCAAACUGACCUAAGAGGGACCAGUCAAUAAGUCAUUUUUAUUUUUUCCAUGAUUCUAUAAAAAAAAAAAAUGAAUAUUACUUUUAAGAUGUUGAUGAAUAUUGUUCUGUAGUUUUAGAACUUUCCAUGUUGAGCCCUGUGGGGUAAGAUCCUGUGUUUGGGGAGGCCAGCGGGGUUGGGGUGAGCAGAGGGAAGGAAGAGUCAACUAAUUUAACCCCUUUGUCUUCUUAAACAACACAUAUUUUAACUGUCAGGAUUGGAUUUGCAAUAUAAGUAAAUAUUCCAGAAAGAAUCGGGCCUCAGAGUUGAGCUGGCCCAUCAUCAGUAGGAGGACAACAGGGGUCGUUUGGUAUAAAAGCGAGCGAUAAGAGGUUGACUCUCUUUUCAUUCUGUUAUAGAUCUACAUCACUUCAUAAUUAAAAGGCUAUGGUGAUUUAAGCCCGAGUUCAUGAUCUGUGCUGUCUUCAACUCGUAGGUCAUUAUCACCAGUUGGACAAGCCAAUGGCGAUGCAUUCAGGUCCUUUCAAACACCUCUCCACUGGAACCAUGCAAAUGAGCAUUUUUCUACCUAUGUUGCCUUUUUGAAAAAGCUGCUUCUGUCUGUUUGCACCUCAUCCUGUCUCUGCAAUAGAUACAGGACUGUGUCCCAUUCCCUGUGUAGUGCACUACUAUGGGCCCUGGUCACUAUAUAGGGAAUAGGGUGCCAUCUGGGACGCAACCAAAGAAAUUUAGAGAAAAGCAGAAUGUCUAAGUGUUAUCGCUACAGAUCCUAUCUAACCAUCCCGUUUAACAAGUCAAGAUGCUAACCAUCCCGUCAUUGUGUUUAGCAAGUCAAGAUGCUAACCAUCCCGUCAUCAUUGUGUUUAACAAGUCAAGAUGCUAACCAUCCCGUCAUCAUUGUGUUUAGCAAGUCAAGAUGCUAACCAUCCCGUCAUCAUUGUGUUUAACAAGUCAAGAUGCUAACCAUCCCGUCAUUGUGUUUAACAAGUCAAGAUGCUAACCAUCCCGUUUAACAAGUCAAGAUGCUAACCAUCCCGUUUAACAAGUCAAGAUGCUAACCAUCCCGUUUAACAAGUCAAGAUGCUAACCAUCCCGUCAUUGUGUUUAGCAAGUCAAGAUGCUAACCAUCCCGUUUAACAAGUCAAGAUGCUAACCAUCCCGUUUAACAAGUCAAGAUGCUAACCAUCCCGUCAUUGUUUAGCAAGUCAAGAUGUUAACCAUCCCGUCAUUGUGUUUAGCAAGUCAAGAGAUGUUAACCAUCCCGUCAUCAUUGUUUAGCAAGUCAAGAUGUUAACCAUCCAGUCAUCAUUGUGUUUAGCAAGUCAAGAUGUUAACCAUCCAGUCAUCAUUGUGUUUAGCAAGUCAAGAUGUUAACCAUCCCGUCAUCAUUGUGUUUAGCAAGUCAAGAUGCUAACCAUCCCGUCAUCAUUGUGUUUAGCAAGUCAAGAUGCUAACCAUCCCGUCAUCAUUGUGUUUAGCAAGUCAAGAUAUGCUAACCAUCCCGUCAUUGUGUUUAGCAAGUCAAGAUGCUAACCAUCCCAUCAUCAUUGUGUUUAACAAGUCCAGAGAUGUUAACCAUCCCGUCAUCAUUGUGUUUAGCAAGUCAAGAUGCUAACCAUCCCGUCAUUGUGUUUAGCAAGUCAAGAUGCUAACCAUCCCGUCAUCAUUGUGUUUAGCAAGUCAAGAUGUUAACCAUCCCGUCAUUGUGUUUAACAAGUCCAGAGAUGCUAAUGGACACACCAAUCUGGUAACCACCGAGCCUACCAAAGACAGAACAGGCUACUGUGGUUGAACCCUCACUCCUGAGGACCCCUGAUGAGGGGUGUAGUGUUGCUCUGCAGAGCAGACCGAGUCGGUGUCCAAUAGAGCCCUACUCCCUAUAUAGUGUAGCAUUUAAGACAAACCUUCUGCCAAGCGGUCCAUGAUCUGAUUUAAUGAGUAACAUUCACCUAUAGCUUAGUGUUUAUUUGAAGGAUUUGAGGGGGGAAACGCUUCAGCUGUACAGUUCCCUUCCACUUCUUCACUGUAACAAAGGUCUUGUCUUGGGUACAGUUAACACUGUGACAACAGUCUUGGGUGCAGUUAACACUGUGACAACAGUCUUGGGUGCAGUCAAGUGGUUCAACGUCAAAGGCUAUGGUUUCAUCAAGAAUGAGACUUCUUCGGGGGGGGUUUGGCGUGUUAGUACAUUUUCAAACGAAACGAUUCAUCUUUGAACACGGAAAGCGUUAGGGUUGAGGCUACGUUCAUGUACCUGUGAUUCUCAGAGUGCAUGAGUGUGUGCUCUAAACCAGGGAUAUUCAACUCUUACCCUACGAGGUCUGUAGCCUGCUGGUUUCCUGUUCUAUCUGAUAAUUAAUUGCACCCACCUGGUGUCCCAGGUCUAAACCAGUUCCUGAUUAGAGGGGAACUGGUUUAGGGGGCUGGCUUGUCAGUCCAGAGUUAAAUUCUCUAAACCUAAAGGUUGACCCUAAACUGUUCAUUUUUCUACUGUUGUGGUGCUGUGCAACUAUCAGUCUGGAUUGAUAAUAUGAUACUUUAAAGACUAGUGCCAGGCCUCAUGUAGAGAGGAGUUUAUGCUAUUUCUAGUGCUAGAGGCGUCACUACAGACCUUGGUUCAGAGGUCUAAGAAACUGCAUCUCAGUGCUAGAGGCGUCACUACAGACCCUGGUUCAGAGGUCUAAGACAUCUCAGUGCUAGAGGCGUCACUUCAGACCCUGGUUCAAUUCCAGGCUGUAUCACAACUGCCCGUGAUUAGGAGUUCCAUAGGGUGGCGCACAAUUGGCCCAGCGUCGUCCAGGUUAGGGUUUGGCCAGGGUGGGCUGUCAUUGUAAAUAAGAAUUUGUUCAUAACUGACUUGCCUAAUUAAAUAAAAACUGUACACUUAUGUUACAAUUA